UGAUGUGUCAAAGUGACUGUGGUUGC
rnacentral:piRNA from 1 species